AGGAAAAGGGGUGGAUUAAAGGCCAUCCCUACGGUUUUCUAAGCCACAUCUCUGCAGGGAGUGCACUGCCGUGAGUACCAAGAACAAAACACUGAGACCAGAAGCAACUUUUAUGUGACGGCUUUGUGGCUGGAAGAGCAGCAGGGGAGAGGGUUAUGGGAGGAAUGGCAGCCUGCAGCUCAGAGUUAACAGGCCUGUGUUCUGGCCUUUUCUUCUCCUCUCAGAUUACGUUCCUGCCUGCCCGGGACUCCUACACGGUCGCCCAGUCCUCUGCUGAGAAGGAUAAUCAGCUCCCACCCCCUGCGGAACUCAGCCUGAUGCUGCAGCCAUCUCCUGUUAUUGUAAUUAGAUACUGAACUAACAGACACUGGAAUCACUGGGUGCUUCUCCCCAAAUUAAACAACGUAAGGGAGGGCGGGGCGCUCUUAA
rnacentral:lncRNA from 1 species